rnacentral:rRNA from 1 species
GUUGAACGCUGGCGGCAGGCCUAACACAUGCAAGUCGAGCGAGCGGCGGACGGGUGAGUAAUGUAUGGGGACUGCCCGAUCGAGGGGGAUAACUACUGGAAACGGUGGCUAAUACCGCAUCAUAUCGGAUACCCCCUAUGUGCUUAGCUGGUAGGUUGGGUAAAGGCUCACCUAGGCGCCGAUCUCUAGCUGGUCUGAGCGGAUGAUCAGCCACCCUGGGACUGAGACACGGCCCAGACUCCUACGGACGCAGCAGUGGCGAAUAUUGCACAAUGGGCGCAAGCCUGAUGCAGCCAUGCCGCGUGUAUGAAGAAGGCCUUAGGGUUGUAAAGUACUUUCAGCGGUUAGGCGUUACCCGCAGAAGAAGCACCGGCUAACUCCGUGCCAGCAGCCGCGGUAAUUC